UACGAAGGGGGCAAGCGUUGUUCGGAAUUACUGGGCGUAAAGGGCGCGUAGGCGGCUUAUCAAGUCAGGCGUGAAAGCCCCGGGCUCAACCUGGGAACCGCGCUUGAGACUGGCGGACUCGAGUUCGGGAGAGGAUGGUGGAAUUCCCAGUGUAGAGGUGAAAUUCGUAGAUAUUGGGAAGAACACCGAUGGCGAAGGCAGCCAUCUGGACCGACACUGACGCUGAGGCGCGAAAGCGUGGGGAGCAAACAGG
rnacentral:rRNA from 1 species